CCGGCACGGGUGGAGUAACACGUAUCCAACCUGCCGUCUACUCUUGGACAGCCUUCUAAAGGGAAAGGAUUAAUACAAGAUGGCAUCAUGAGUCCGCAUGUUCACAUGAUUAAAGGUGUUCCGGUAGACGAUGGGGAUGCGUUCCAUUAGAUAGUAGGCGGGGUAACGGCCCACCUAGUCUCGAUGGAUAGGGGUUCUGAGAGGAAGGUCCCCCACAUUGGAACUGAGACACGGUCCAA
rnacentral:rRNA from 1 species